UGCCCUGCACUUUGGGAUAAGCCUGGGAAACUGGGUCUAAUACCGAAUAUGACCAUGCACUUCCUGGUGUGUGGUGGAAAGCUUUUGCGGUGUGGGAUGGGCCCGCGGCCUAUCAGCUUGUUGGUGGGGUAAUGGCCUACCAAGGCGACGACGGGUAGCCGGCCUGAGAGGGUGACCGGCCACACUGGGACUGAGAUACGGCCCAGACUCCUACGGGAGGCAGCAGUGGGGAAUAUUGCACAAUGGGUGCAAGCCUGAUGCAGCGACGCCGCGUGAGGGAUGACGGCCUUCGGGUUGUAAACCUCUUUCAGCACAGACGAAGCGCAAGUGACGGUAUGUGCAGAAGAAGGACCGGCCAACUACGUGCCAGCAGCCGCGGUAAUACGUAGGGUCCGAGCGUUGUCCGGAAUUACUGGGCGUAAAGAGCUCGUAGGUGGUUUGUCGCGUUGUUCGUGAAAACUCACAGCUUAACUGUGGGCGUGCGGGCGAUACGGGCAGACUUGAGUACUGCAGGGGAGACUGGAAUUCCUGGUGUAGCGGUGGAAUGCGCAGAUAUCAGGAGGAACACCGGUGGCGAAGGCGGGUCUCUGGGCAGUAACUGACGCUGAGGAGCGAAAGCGUGGGGAGCGAACAGGAUUAGAUACCCUGGUAGUCCACGCCGUANACGGUGGGUACUAGGUGUGGGUUUCCUUCCUU
rnacentral:rRNA from 1 species